CUGAGUCCCCUUCGGGGAAAAGGGCGGCAUAUAAAUGUAAUAAAUCCAAUCCAAUCCAAUAGUCCCUAAGUGAUAAAACAGUGCACAGCAAACAAACAAACAAACAAACAAAAAAAUCUCUUCUACCUGUGAACUUGAACUUUCAGCUUUUUUCUCUCUUUUCCUGCAGCCGUGGCCGUGAUUGCUCUGGAAAAAUCCCCAAAGGGAACAAGAAAGUAAACAAGCAAAGCUUGGCCGACGGAACUGCAAAGACGUCCGAGUUCGGCAGCAACGGCGGCGGCAGCUGCAGCCGACCCCAGUCCCAGUUUAAUGGGGAUGGAGGCCCCCCCUCCAGAGCCAACGAAGAUCCCACUGUUGGAACAUGCCCUUCAGCCACAUCACCUUGUGCCUUAGCAAGAGACACUGACUCAUGCAAUAACAAAAGCCCCUAUUUUGGGACGCUGGGUGGGGACUCUGAACGAUGCCCGGAGAACAAGCUUCCCUUCCCGGUUCUGCAGAAAGAGGAGUGAAUAGAUGCCGCUGUGGGUCCAAUUGGCUGGCAAAUGGGAUGGGUGGGUGGGAUGACAAGGUUUUGACCUGCCAAGGAUAGGAUGGGGAAAUUCAGCCCUUCCAACACAUUGGCUAGAAUGUAAAUGCAAUCAAGUGCUGGAAUAGAAUUAUUAGCUAGGCAGGGACAGGGACAGGGAGAUUGCUGUCUUGAUAGCUCACAUUACAACAUUUGGCUGAUUAAUCGAAUUGCUCCACUACAGCAGAUAUUGUGUAGUAUUGUGUAAUGUUGUGAGGUCAAGCAGCCUGCUGGGACUUUUGCCCCUGUUUUGGAGGAUAACAUCAGCUUUUUUGCAUUCCGCCCCUCAAUUUUGCCACUGUGCCAAUCGGAUCCAUAAAGGCGGCAAUUUUUUAAGUUUAUUUGAAUUUAUUUUUGUUUUUUAAUUUUAUAGGGGGGAAGACUUUUUAGGGGGCAAGAAUUAUGAAUUCUGGAUUUUGGGAAGGGGGAUAUUUUUAAAGGAAGAAAAAGCCAGGAAGGUUUUACUUUAAAAUGGGGCAGAUUUUUCCUGCCUGCCUUGUUUAAUUUCUUGCCAACUCCCCCACCAUCAGGCCAAAUAGCAGUAUUGCUUUGAGGGAUGGUGAUGUUGGUAUGAAUUAAGGGGUGUGUAUGAGAGACAAUGAUUUUUAAGAGAGAGAGAGUAGUACCACCACUGCAAAUUAUGCACAAGAUGCAUAUAGCGGCUGGCGUGUGCUUUUUAUUAUAUAUGAAAGAGAGAGAGAGAGAGAUUAUAUUUAUAUAUAACAUGAAUAGAGCUAUAUAUAAAUAUGAAUGCUACAAACCCGGAAGGGGUAAAAAUGUUCCCGGGAGACAACUUGCGUUCCAAAACGCUACGUGUUUAAUGAAUUCAAGGUCUGCUUCGCCAGUUGCCAGCAAUUGGGUCCUAUCCUCAGGUUGCGGCAGUAGAAUGAGGCAGGCCUCCUGAUACCAGACAGAACACUUCUUAUCCUUAAAACAGACAAGCACUUACUGUUACAAUUCCAGGACUGUGAGCAAAUGGCUGAAGAUAGCUGGGGCUGUAAAGAUGUGGGGUGGAUAGCCAUCCAAAUGGGGAAGUCGUGGGGUGAGGCUGCCAAUGAUAUCCAUCCUACCCAGAAACGGAGUGGGUGCGAGGGAUUCUAGCUCUUGUUGUCAUUAAAAAGGUGACAUUGGGGGCGUUGGGGUUGGGGUUAUUGCAGUUGCUCAGCUGGUGAUUCUUUAUUCUUCUCUUCCAAGGGAAUCCUACAAGUUCAGUACACGAUCUAGAAUCUAGGAUGAAUCUAGGAUGAAUCGGGCCUUUUAGAAAUCACCCUGCCCACCCCCUCAGGCUUCGCACAAUCUGCUAUCAAUUCUUAUGCUGAUGAUAAUGGGAAAAUUUUUUCCAAAGACUUGCUGAAAACAGUUGGUCGAGGUUUUCAUUAGUGUAGCUAAACUCCAUUAUAUACACACUUUUCUCUCCCAUUUCCCUAUCCUUUUGCGUUGUCUAAUUUGAAUUACACCUAUCCUUGCAGAUGAUCUUGUAGAAUCUGAAAGCCUUGAAUAUUGGAAACUUGGUAAAUCCAUUCGAAAUGUUGCGUACUGAAGCAGAUUUCAAAUGCAGAAUGUUUAUAAAGAGCAGGCAGUUCAAAGUAAUUUGGGGUCAGAAAUAGAACAGGCUGAACAUUCUGUUGGAAAGAAUUUUUAAACCAGUUUUCCAGCUGCAAACAUACAUGCACUUCUGCAGUGCAUAUUUCCUUCUAGUUUCUUACAACUUCUACGGCACUUGAGUCAGAUGACUUGAGUAAUCUAAAAUGUGUUUUGAUUUUUAAUUUCUCUUCUGCUAUCAGUAUCCAUAGGCUGAAUGUUUCCCUUUCUGUUCCUCCAGCAGAAGGGCACAUGAUUAAACCGCUGCUUGGAACAAUGGCUGGUUCCACUUCAAACCAAAAUCAGAAAAGUAUUCUUAAUAGUACAGAGUAAUUCUAUGAAAUUAAUUGCCACAAGAUAAAUGUUGGUAGCCACGACAUCCUUUAGUGAGUGAUUCAAUGUAUUAUUGGGCAACAAGUCAUGAUAACUAAAUUGAAUUUAUAUGUUCAUAAGAAAUAUUUUCUUAAAUUUCAAUUACUGCAGAAUUGUGUUAAAAAGUGAGGAAGGGUAUCAUCCAAAUUUUUAACAAAUUUAUUUGCCUUGUUUUCUGCAAAUGUAUAAAAGGGUAGUUAAAAUGGGUUUAAAACCUGAAACAGAGCAGGGUAUCUUAUUUCUACUGCCAGCUCCAUUCCCUUGGGUGAGUUAUCCACCUACCAGAACUCAAAAGUAGGAAGCCCUGAUCUUCCUCCUCCCAUUUGAGCUGCCAGAUCACUCUCAUCAAAAGAUUUAAACUCUUUGCUUCAGACAAUUUUUGGAAUUGAUCUAUAACCAGUUGGCUAUUUUUGCUCUGCAGCUGUUGACUCAAACUCAUUGAGAUGGGGAAUUUCUUAUAUUGCUCUAAGAGCAGGACCUUUGGAAAUGAUCCAUGGUUGCCAGAAGGGAGGGAGCACCCGAAAAAGAUUAUCCCUUAAAGGCAAGAACUUGACAACAGCCAAAGGAAAAAGUUGCUUUUACCUUUGGGGAAAUAGCUAGAGCAGUCUAAAGGGUGGGAGAGCAUUUUUGUUUGAAAACUAUCAUAGUUGUAGCUGGGGGAGUAUGGGAAGUAGACUCUAUUUUAGAAAACAAAGAGCUGCUAUUUAAAGUAGUUUGUGAUACAGAGUUUUGAGUAUUAAGAACUUGAUUUUUAAAAAGUAUUUCUGGUAGGUAAAUUUUGGGGAAAAAAAACAGAUUUUUUAAAUAGUCGAAGCAGCACACUUUUCAGCUGCAAAAACUAGUAAUUCUGAUUGGGUUGGCGUUCUAAACAUGGAAAAGAGAAAGUUUUUGUUCUGCUGGAUAAAUUGUGAAUAACUGGCAAAUUGAUGUCUUUCGUAUUGUGAAGUACUGGCUCGACGGUUAACAAAGAGAAUAAUCUUGUUUAAAGAUAGCACUACUACUAAGAAUCAUACAUUUGGAGAGCAUCUUAUCAGCUUUCCGUCCCCAAAACAAAAAUAAAAUCUUUUCCUUUUUUUAAAAAAAAAAUAUUUAUUUGCAGAAUUAAUGGAACUAGUAAUCAAGUCUUUUAAAAUCUUGAUUGUUUUGUUUCUAACCUUUGCUGAUUAAAGCUAGUUGUCCAAUGCAAAAAUUGCCUUGAAGAGUCAAUCCAACUUUCAUUCAGGAAUGACUCACAUUCCAUCAGUGGAUUCCAUUGAGUACUAAUCAUCUAGAUUGUCUGGAUAAUUUUUUUUAUAUUUGGGAGAUUUAUCUUUUUAAUCAGUUAUCCCUUCUUUUCCUGUUCCCUUGGUUCUUUCAUAUUACAUCCUGUUGCAGUCCCUAAAUAACAUCUUAAAUGUUCAACUUUCUUUUGCAAGAAAUCCCCAAAUAAAACCCUGUUGUCCAGUAAGCAAAAUGAAUAAAUAAAUAAAUCCCAAUGUACCAUUUAGAAUACAGUUCUUUUAGGCUUAGUAUCUAGGUAGCAUCUUAUAUCUAGAGUUAUAAUGGCAGAAUAUUAAUCCCAAUCCCGCAUCGGGCAUUGGAUGGCAUUUGGAAGGGAGAUGUACAUCUCUACUUCUUGCAUGGAAGAGCCAACAUAAAUUAAUAAUUAUAUUUGCAGCUAUUAUCUUUCGCUAAAUGUGAAAUCCAGGUAUGAAUUUUUCUACAAUGACCUUAAGAUUCAUGCUUUUGUUUCUUUGUUAUGAUAGCAGAACAAACAGAACUUUAAAUCACACAUCAAAGAAGAUUGGGGGAAAUAUGCUUUUUCUGGUGAUAUCCUAGCUACCCCCCGUCUCAGUUGAAACAACUAAUUUGAAGAGACUGUGACUCUACAUUGUGAAAUGUACUCUAAUCUGGGCCUAACAAGGAAGUGCCCUUCUAUUCCCAAGAUGAAGGAUGGGAAAGAUAAAGACUUUCAUUUAACCAUCACAUUAUUUCCUGAUGCUGGUUGUUUAACUCUUCAAUUUGGAAUGAACAGCUUGACAUCUUCCUUUGUGUCAAUUUUGGUUUGACAGUAUUCAUGGAGGCAAGAUUCUAUCCUAAGAGUAGCAGAAAUGUCUGUACAGCCAAAUCUUUUGACAGUUCUGACGUCUAAUCCCAGAGCUACAGAUCUGCUUGCCUAUGUUAGUCAAUUAUGUAGGUUUGUUAGUGUACAGAUAAUUUGAUACAGUAUCUCGCAGUUUAGGGGUAGAUAAGGCUGCCUCAGUUUUCUGUCAUCUUAAUUUUCUAACUCCAAUGCUUCAGAAGAGGAAUGGGAUCAGAGUUUGAUCAACUAUAUUGCUAAGAUAAAAAAAACCCAAAAUGUUCUGGUCCAAUCCCCAUUUCUGAAACUCUAUAGAAUUCAUGUGGUUUUAUGGUCUGUUUGGGUUGCAGAAAUUAAUAAGUCUCAGUUGAAAACUAGUUCAUUUUGCAAGUUAUAGAAAAAUAUCAAAGAGUUCAGUACUGUGCUUCUAUGGGAGUGUGGAAUGUGGGAUUGAAUAUAAAAGUAAUUUUGAUUUUUUUUAAAAAAAAAUCCUAAUUGUUCAUGUUAGCAAAGAUAUUGUAUAGAAAUGUAGGUGCCUGGAUGAAAUCUCAGAUCUUGAAAAUGAUGCCCAAAUUUAAUUUGGUAGAUUUUUUUUUUUAACAUUUUAGAAAAUGGUUGUGGAGAUAUGCAUUUGAUCAUUUUAUAACCCAUGACAAAAUUCAAUGUUUGAAGAUUAAAUUUUACUUAGUUUUGAUCUGGAGCAAGCUAGUAGAAAAUGAGGUUUGAAAUAAUGUUAUUAAAUUUCCCUUGAUAAACAUCCUGAAUACUUUUAAAACAUGUAGAUGAUUGAGGCCUGAUUUUAUUUUGAGUUGCUUACUGUCUGCUGAUCCGAAACAAUAGAAGGUAUCAUGCAGCUUUAAAAUAUUCAAUAAAAAUGCAAAGUGCUUCCCUGGGGGCUGUAAGAGGGAUAAUGAAAACAUGCAAUUCAAAGUCCAGUGUUGUAUCAGAGCCAAAGAGAUGGAUAAAAUUACUGAUUUUGUUUCUCCUUUCUGGAUCCAAAGAAUCACUCUUCUUCAUUGAUAUAUUUAGAUUUCUGAAUGUAUUUUUGGUCAAGGCAUCUUUUACUUGCAUUAAGUUAACGCUUUCACUUACGUGACCAUUUCUUAAAAAGCAUCUCUGCUUUGAUGCCCAUUGCUCCACCAUAUGAGAGCCAGAUGACAUGACCUUCUUAAGUCCACAGUGGAAAGCAAUAAUUUGACGAAUGCUUUUUAAGCAAGUGGAUUUGCAUAUGUUGUUGCAAAAAUGUACUGUUUUAAUUACUGCAGUUUCCCAAAUCAGGUCAGACUGAUACGGUUCAUGCCUGCAGAGCUAAAAUAGGAAUAUUAUGUUACAAUGAAGUCAUUCCAACUGGAGAAAGAUUUUGUAAUUGAGCCUUUCUUUGAGAGAAUUAAAGAAGUUUAGAAGGGCUCCCCCCCACACCCUAAGUUUUAGGAUAGAACUGAUUAAUAUCAUUUGAGGUUCUAUUUUUGCAGAAUGAGUCUUUCUCCUAGGGACCCUCUUCUCUUUUGAUCAGAAUAGCCUGCCCCAGUCCACUGGCUAGGGAAUUGGGAGAUCUGAAGUCUAACACAUGUCUGGGGAGGAAACCAGAUUGAAAAAGGUUGGAUUAGAAUUACAGCAGGAGCAUAGUGGUAGAUUGGGUUGUGCUUUGAAAAACAACAGGUAAGAUUUUCAUAUUGUUAUUGUCUUUAUUUGGGGGCAAAGGAGUGCAAAUUCCCUCUUUCCCUAAACUAGUAGAUGUACUUACGGUAGUUACUAAAAUUUUUGAGGGAUCAGAAAUCAAAUGUUAAUACAGGUUACACUGUGCCUUAAAUAGUAAUAUUAAAAUUAAUUUGAAUUGAAACCUUGAAAUGACAAACUUUCAAACCAGUGUUUUUAAAUAACAGUUUCUAACAUUGAGAUCUUCUUGUGAAAUCAGAAAUCUAAAGUAUUGCUUUGGAACCAAGGGUUCAGAUUUCAAAGAUCCUAAAUAUGUAGCCCUCAAACCCUUGUAUCCAAAUUUAAAAAUCUGGAAGAAUGUUUCAUUUCAAAUAUGUCACUACAGGUGGGUGUUUACCACUGCUGAUCAUUUGGUAAAAAUAGGUAUUGUAAGCUUAGCCUGUUUGUGACCCUAGAGAAGUACGGGAGUAAAAAUCUGAAUAUACAAAGCAUCUAUUUUUCCUAUCCUUGCACUUCUAGAAAGCUGGAAACUUAGUGCAAGAUAAUCUGUGAAACUUAGAAGUUUUAAAAUAGUCAUGAUAGAUAAUAUGGAAGUUUUAUGAAAAGAAAAGGAAUAUUUUUUUGUAUCUGAAAAAAACUUAUAGAUAGCUGGAAACUAAAUGGUUGCAAUUAAUUGCAAAUCUCCAGUUCAUUGAGGUUGAUUUCUAGGGAAAUGUUGUAACUAACUGACCCAAAGGUUUUCUCAAGUAUUUGUGAAUCUAGGCCAUUCUUUUUUUAUUUAUUUCUGUAACCCUUUUGUCUGGUAUCCCCCAUUUCAGUGCCCUUCAUUUAAGAUGGACUUCAACUCCCAUAAUCCUUAAAGUAGAGAUUAUGGAAAUUGAACUUCAGAGUUCCUUGCCAUGGGAUCCUGAUCUAGAUUCCCUCUAGAACUGGAUCUUUGUGUGGUAUAGAUUGUCAAGUAUUUAUCCCAGUGAAUUAAGGCCCAUUAACUGCACCUAUGUUUUCAUGUUUAUUGUCAUUAAUUGCUGAGUUAGCAUAUUGUGAUGUUGAAAAUUCAUGGAAGUAAUCUGAUUCUUCCCUACCCAUCAUCCAGUGAAUCUUAAAUUACUAAUGUGACAAAGUGUUUUUCUGAGUUCAGACUGCAUCCUUUAAAAUAUAGGAAGACAUCUUUUAGGGUAGAAAUAUAAAAUUAAUCUUUUUAAGCUUGCUGUAUUUGGUUGCAGUUCUGAAUUUCUAAAGCAUAUUUCCUGGAGUCCAACAACCUUUGUAAGGAUUUGACCCAUCAAAUCAUAGACAUGGGGUUUUAGCAUGCUUCCUUCAUACUUUUGUCACCAGGGAGGGAGGGAAAGUUUAAAACCAACCUGUUGACCAAGAUUGCUUGCCUUUCUCUUAGGAGUCAUUGAUCCCAUUCUGAGGCAGUACUGAAAAUUGUGACUGUGGCUAGCAAUUCCUAAGCUUUUGCUACCAGUUAACUUGGCUGGAACUCUUAAGAAAAUGGAAUAUUCCAAAUAUACUUUCAGUAUAAUAUAUACUUUGAAAAGACUAGGGAGCCUUUUCAGGGAGGGACAGCUUUUAACUUUUUCUGGUGUGGUUUCGAAUUCCACCCUUUCUUGGAUUCAGAAAAAAAUAAGUGAACCCUUAGAUCCCUGGGGGAGUGACAGACGAACAUUACAACAGGGACAUGAUUCUUGUGGAGGGGAAUGGGGGUGUCCCGAUCCACAAAUUAUACAUAGAUACACUUGAGCCUGUGAAGAGGACACAGUGCCACUAACUAGCCAUUUGGGCCAGAGAACCACCAUUCCCCCUCCCCCCCAUCACUCAACUUCAAAUGUAACUUAGUGUAAACCUUAACUGUAGCUACUUGGAUGAAAAGCCCCAUUGUACUAUGGUCUCUUCUUCUAAGUAAGCAUGGUUAAGAUUAGGCGACACAAAUCCUACACAAACUACAAUGUGUUCUUUUUUAUUUUUAAUGUAGUUAGCAGAAUUUUACUACCAAGGUUGAAUCAUUAUAGUAGCUAACUUACAACAUGUACUUUGCUAAAUAUGCAUGUACUUCUAUUUUUAAUUUUUUAUUCUUCCCAUUCUCUCCCCUCCCAAAAACCUCUUCUGCUUUUUGGUUUUACCUGUGCUGAUUUCUGUUUUAAAGUCCACCUUUAAUGUUUAAAGGAAACCUAAUGAACACACCUGUUACGAAUCUUACCAUUUUAACUGCUAUUUACUGGUCAUUGCUUAAAGUCAGACGCUGUUGCUCAUUUUCUAGUUAUUUUUCAGAUUAGAUUUUUGUCCUCAAUUUUGAAAAAUCAACCCUUUCUUCCCACAAGCACCAUAUCUGUCUAUAAUAUUACCCUUUCAGAUGGGAUGUACACCUUUUCUGAUUAUAACCAUUGCUCUUGUAUUUUGGUAGAUGCUUUGUUGAUAGUAACUAAAUGCCUAGUGAGAUUUUUAAAAGUAAAAACAAACUCAGUUGUUAUUUUAAGCCAGUCUUUUCCCUCAUACUUUCCUUGAGUAACCUUGACAUUGCAUUUUUACCAGAUAUAUCUCUCUCCACAAUUGCCUUUUCAAAAUGUUUAGCCUAAGAUUUUAGCUGAAAAAAUACAAAUCAAUAAUUUUGCUGAACAGAGUAAAUCUGAUUUUUCUUGUUAGUGAUCCCGUCAAUUGCAAGUUUCAUGCUUUAUUUAUAUGGGAAGUUAAUGAUCAAUACAUUAUUCCCUUCUACCUUUUAAAAAUAUUUCUUUUUAUGCUAAUUAACACCUGUUCUUAGUGGAUGGAUAAAUGUUAUCUUUACUGUCCCCACCCCAAUCUUGAUAAUCAAAUUCCCAUCUCCCCAAUCCUUGCACCCCACAACAUACUCCAUAGGUUGUUGGGUUUUUUAAUCAGUGUAAGUUUGGACAGGUUGCUCUAAAUCAGGGGAAAUUUGCAGUAGGUUUGUGAUCAGAAAGCUUGGGUGUCUUUUGGGAAUGUUUUUUGCUGGUGGAAUCUUGGUGCGCUGUUCAUCUGUUGAUGAUGGAGAAAGACUUACAGUGCUUAAUAAAGUCUAUUCUUUUAGUAAA